UCUUGACUAGUAUAUCGGUUAGUACACGCGCUUGUCAUCCCAAAGAAAUCCAUAUGACGGGUUCGCGCGAAAGCUGGGUUCGACUCCCAGGUCGAGAG